rnacentral:rRNA from 1 species
AAACGUAGGUGGCAAGCGUUGUCCGGAAUUACUGGGUGUAAAGGGAGCGCAGGCGGAUUGGUAAGUUGGGCGUGAAAUCUAUGGGCUUAACCCAUAGCGUGCGUUCAAAACUACUGAUCUUGAGUGAUGUAGAGGUAGGCGGAAUUCCCGGUGUAGCGGUGGAAUGCGUAGAUAUCGGGAGGAACACCAGUGGCGAAGGCGGCCUACUGGGCAUUAACUGACGCUGAGGCUCGAAAGUAUGGGGAGCAAACAGGAUUAGAUACCCUGGUAGUCCAUACCGUAAACGAUGAUUACUAGGUGUGGGGGGAUAGACCCCCUCCGUGCCGCAGCUAACGCAAUAAGUAAUCCACCUGGGGAGUACGGCCGCAAGGCUGAA